GAAAGAAAGAUUAAUACCCGAUGGGAUAAUUAUUCCGCAUGGUUUGAUUAUUAAAGGAUUCCGGUAAAGGAUGGGGAUGCGUUCCAUUAGGUUGUUGGUGAGGUAACGGCCCACCAAGCCUUCGAUGGAUAGGGGUUCUGAGAGGAAGGUCCCCCACAUUGGAACUGAGACACGGUCCAAACUCCUACGGGAGGCAGCAGUGAGGAAUAUUGGUCAAUGGGCGCUAGCCUGAACCAGCCAAGUAGCGUGAAGGAUGACUGCCCUAUGGGUUGUAAACUUCUUUUAUAUUAGAAUAAAGUGCAGUAUGUAUACUGUUUUGUAUGUAUAAUAUGAAUAAGGAUCGGCUAACUCCGUGCCAGCAGCCGCGGUAAUACGGAGGAUCCGAGCGUUAUCCGGAUUUAUUGGGUUUAAAGGGAGCGUAGGUGGACUGGUAAGUCAGUUGUGAAAGUUUGCGGCUCAACCGUAAAAUUGCAGUUGAUACUGUCAGUCUUGAGUACAGUAGAGGUGGGCGGAAUUCGUGGUGUAGCGGUGAAAUGCUUAGAUAUCACGAAGAACUCCGAUUGCGAAGGCAGCUCACUGGACUGCAACUGACACUGAUGCUCGAAAGUGUGGGUAUCAAACAGGAUUAGAUACCCUGGUAGUCCACACAGUAAACGAUGAAGACUCGCUGUUUGCGAUAUACAGUAAGCG
rnacentral:rRNA from 1 species